GUUUUUUUUUUUUUUUUUUUUUUUUUUGCGCACCAAAGGCAGAUACUUUCGUAA
rnacentral:ribozyme from 1 species